AACGUAGGACGCAAGCGUUAUCCGGAGUUACUGGGCGUAAAGAGCGUGUAGGCGGCCCGGUAAGUCCGCUGUGAAAGUCGGGGGCUCAACCCUCGAAUGCCGGUGGAUACUGUCGGGCUAGAGUGCGGAAGAGGCGAGUGGAAUUCCUGGUGUAGCGGUGAAAUUCGUAGAUAUCAGGAGGAACACCAGUGGCGGAAGGCGGCUUUCUGGACGGUAAC
rnacentral:rRNA from 1 species